UCCGGUUUGUCACCGGCAGUCUCCUUAGAGUGCCCACCUUAACGUGCUGGUAACUAAGGACAAGGGUUGCGCUCGUUACGGGACUUAACCCAACAUCUCACGACACGAGCUGACGACAGCCAUGCGGCACCUGUCUCAAUGUUCCCGAAGGCACUCCGCCAUCUCUGGCAGAUUCAUUGGAUGUCAAGGCCUGGUAAGGUUCUUCGCGUUGCUUCGGAUUAAACCACAUGCUCCACCGCUUGUGCGGGCCCCCGUCAAUUCAUUUGAGUUUUAACCUUGCGGCCGUACUCCCCAGUAGCUGCGCCACUAAGAGCUCAAGGCUCCCAACGGCUAGUUGACAUCGUUUACGGCGUGGACUAC
rnacentral:misc_RNA from 1 species